UUUGCGAAUUAAUUGUUCGUCGCAUUCUUUAAUUUCUACGGUUUUGUCUGCAUUGUUUAGGGUUUUUCUAAAACCUUAAUUGCUUCAACUUUUUGAUUACUUUUGCAGUUGUUGAAUGUGUUCAUGUAAUCAGAAACAAAUGAGACACUUACCUUGACCUUUUUCUAGCUGAUUAUUACACCAAACUGUACUCCAAUUCUUGAAUCUUUUCGUUCUCUAUGUGUCUAUUUGUUGUUAAUUUUUACUUAAGGUGGUGUUUGUGUUUGAGUGUUUUGAUGAAAAUGUGUGCAUAAUUUGAAUGGUUUAUUGUGUUUAAUGGUUUUAAAUUUACGCCAUUGACGUUCACAAUCGUCGAGGGUAGUUGAGGUUAUUUUCUCUACUGAUUGAGCUUAUUGGUUUUGUAUUAUUGGAAAGAAUACUACACUACUUUUUUCUUUGUUGUUAUCUAGCAAUUUCUGGAUCAUUUGAAUCUUACUUGGAAUUUCUAAUUCUCUUUUAAUUCACUCUUUGGUUCUCGUAUAAUAAUUGGUUACAAUGUAACCUGAUUGUAGAUGUUUUGCACAAACAAUAUUGAAGUUGGUUCCAGUUUUAUUACUAGAAUAGAGAGCUGAAUUCAGAAUUUUGGGAUAGUAACCUUAGGAUUUUUGUUUGAAGUAGAAUAAGUGAAUAACCAAGUCGAUCAUGUUUUUGAAUUUGAUAAGCUAAUAUUUCCACUAUGAUUUGUGACUAUCUGAUUUCCGCUUGCAUGUUCAUUUAGCUAGGGAGAUGUGGCAAACAUGGAAAAGUCCUGGUAUUAUUGCUUGUAGUACUUUGGUAGAAGGUCUUAGGACAUCUGGAAACAUAGAAGAUGAAUUGAGGCUCGAUGUCAAGAUGCUAAAAGAGGGUGUUCUGUUGGAUAGUGUGACUUUUAACUAUCUUCUUCAAGAUGAUACUCGUGUGGGAAGACCUGUUGAAGCUUAUAAAUUAAGGUUGUUGGCUUCCAGCAAAGGUUUAGAUGUUGAUGUUGUGACCUACAACAUAUUAGUUGCUGGAACGGAAUUUCUGUUAGUUAAAAUAAUGAUGUGGCUCCCUGACCAUAGAGCUUUGACAACUGUCACUACUCAUCAUCAUUGAUGGUAGACCUUCAAUGCGGCAAACUUUCUAAAUAAUGAGAACCCUUUAACCUGUUCUCAUCUAGUAUGAAGAAAGGGAUUGCACAACAAGUGACAUUGGAACAAAUUUCUGAAGGUCUCGGUGAGCUGUCAGCCUACUUUUCUGUAAGGCUCAAUACUCAUCAGGGGAUAACUGAUGGUCUGUUCAAGCCAGUGCCUGGAACUAAUCAAGAUGAUGGCAUGAUCAGGCUUGCAAGUUUUUAGAAGAAAAUUGGUUUCUGAAGUUUACACUGGUUGUUGCCCAGAAGAAUCAUCAUACGAAGUUUUUCCAGAAAAAAGAUCCAGACAAUGUUCCAGCUGGCGA